UGAAUAUGGGCGGGAAAAAAACUCUCGUUCUUUCCGUCAAAAACAUUAGCUUGAAUGCUAACGUGAGGAGUUUGUGAAAGAUUUCUUGAAAUGAGAUUCCAGUGAGAUGCCAGGCCAGACUGCAGCGAGGGGCAUGAUGGAGCCUGAAUGUCUCGUCUGCAGGACUGCAGGACUGCUGAGAUCUUCAGGAGAUCAGUCCACACUUCCACACUUCAGUCUGAGGGGU